UUCGUGCUGACCACCUAUCCGAGUUUCACUUGAGAAGUGUGAGCCGGGGAAUAUUUCUGAGCCUCCGGGGCUGCCCGUCCUGGCUCACGCCCACAGAGUUCGGCCAGGCACCCCUCGUCUCCCCUGGGUCAGUAGCCGUGAGCUCCCCAGCAUGUCCCAUCUGUUUCCUUGAGGCAGGUGACUUCCUUGUCAUGCAUGGGAGCUUCCUAGGGGGAAGCCAGCUCUUGGCCCCGGGGAGCGCUUGUGUUCUACAAAUCCGUUGUUGCUGUGGGUCUGUGUCUGCCCUCGAGGGCGUGUCCUACACCCCCCCUCGUGUCCGAGGUGACUACUUUAUGCCAGCAAAAGAAAACAAGCUUCACACCUCACGGAGCUGAAGGUGAGGCGACAGCUGGCUGAUGACGGCUCAUGACUCACCCAUGUGGAUCCUGGACCACAGGCGUGAAAGGAGCUCCCACCCAAGGGCACAUAUCAAGUCACAGAUGAGAACCCGGGUUUGGCUGCUCGGAGAGUGACGAGGGAUUGCGACAUGUUUUCAGCUAACCUCAGCUCUGCGGAGCCGAGCACUCGGGGAGUGAGGUUUAGGGAAGUCAAGCGUCCUUGGGUUGGUUUCCCAGAACAGCUGGGCAUGUCAGAAGACGUGAGUUCCAAUUUCACUCUCUUUCUCACUAGCUCUGUGACCUGAGGUGACUCCAUCAACUUCUCUGCGCCUCUGUGAUUUCACCUGUGAAAAGGAGGGAUUGCCCUCUGCUCCGCUUGCCUCCUGGGCCGUCCGGAUCCAGGGGGACCUCACAUGUCGAAGAAAUAGAACAGGAAUAGCAGAAGCCUGGCUGGACACCUCAGCCCCUGUUCCUGCUUUCAAGGCGAAUGCAUUUUGUUUGCGUACGUGUGCAUGAAGGAGAAUGAAAUAGUGCCAAGUAUCAAGCAAACUCAUGAUGGGCUACCUUGGGAGUGGGCAGGGGCGGGAGGAACCAGGUUUGAGGGUGGGGCAGUUCAUUUCCCUAGAAUACAUAUUCAUAUCUUUGCAGUUAUUUUAGUCUUUUUCAAAGAUAACUGCACAGCACUGAAUUGCACUGCCGGACCUGUGAGGCAGACACAGUCCUUCAGGAGGAAGGAGAGGAGCUACAGUGGUCCGAAGGAUUUUACGGGCUGGGAAACUUGCCUGUGGCGAGGAGGAAGACCGAUUUGGAUGAAUGGAAGGGAGCAAAGGCAUUCUCCCAGGGGACCAGCAUGAGCAAAGGGGAGCCAACUAAGAGCCACCCCAAAUGUGGGCUUUGGCUGACGGAGGAAGCAGUGGGGGAGCUGCACCUGUGCAGGGGGCAGAUCUGACCUCUCCCCGCCCAGACCGAGGAGUUUGGCAGGGGAUGCACUUGGAGCUCAAGACCACCAGCUUCCCACCCUCUCUGGACGCCGCUCCCUCCCAAACUGCCCGGGGACAGACGGGGCUGAAGCCUGCCGUUCUGGGCUAGAGCCCUGUCCAGGAGCCCCAAGACUGGCCAUGGGACUGGGGGGCGAGUCCCUGACCCCUCCCAGCCCCGGGCGCCCAUCCCUGAAAUGAAGGGACGGGGCCCCUGGCACCUUGCAGCGGUGGUGGCCGGGAGGGUGAAGUGAGACCAGGGCUCAGUCGGGGCACUGCUCUCCGUCCAGGCCGUUUGCUCACAGCACGAAUGAGAAAGCUGGAUGCGGCAGUGGCCAUGAGAGCAGGCUCCUAGCGACAAAGAAUGCUUCCUCUGCGAGGCCCCUCGCAAGCAGCCUCUCCUGGGUCUCCCGGACUCCCAGCCCCACCAGGCCGCGUGUGAACCCCAGUGGGGGAGGCAAGAGCCAACCCACUUCCGAAGCUGUCCUGGGAGGCACCCCACGCAGGCUGUGGGAAAUGGCGCCCAUUUCCAGGGGGUCCACCCGACAGACUUACCCGCAAACUUGGGGACCCACACGUGUGAGAUGGAGGCCUCGCACCAACAAGGUAGGCAACGCCAUCGCCUUGGAUUCGCACUUCUGUCCUCUGAGUUUCAACACUUUUUAACGCUCGUUUGUUUUUGAGAGAGAGAGAGACAGAGCCUGAGAGAGAAGGAGCCACAGAAUUCGAAGCAGGCUGCAGGCUCCGAGCUGUCGGCACAGAGCCCGACGCGGGGCUCGAACUCACGAACCGCGAGACCGUGACCUGAGCCGAAGUCGGAGGCCCAACCGACGGAGCCCCCCGGGCGCCCCGGCAGCUUCAUGUUUAGAUGUGUGUUGAACAGGUGCUAUGUGCCCAGCUAGGCUCUAGGGUUCCGGCAGUGAACAAAACAGACAAAAGGUGAGGGGACGUGAACAAUGAAGGCCGAGGAGCAAAUGCAGGGGUGUGGGGGUGACGAGGGCCAAGGAGAGAGACACGGCAGGGCCAGAGGAAGGCGUAGAAGAUGCAAAUAGGGUAACGGGCUGGCGGUGAGCUGCUCGCAAACUCUCCAGGGCCAGGCCAGCUCCAGGGCUCAGACAGGCUGAGGCCUCUGUCAUAGCUGCAUUUCACGUCGAUGUCCCAGUCUGUUUCCUCUGCUCAGUCUGCUUCUUCCCCACCCACCCCCCACCCCCACCCAGAUGUUGCCCGCAAGAGCGCACCCAACACGCCUGCAUGCAAAUCUCCAUCUCGGAAACUAUUCUCAGGGGGCCCGACACCAAAGAAAACCCGUAUUUCAGAACCGCUACCUACACUGUACCUCCACUCCAUCAUGGGUCCCACCAGUGCGGGCUCGCCUCGGAGCCCCGGUGACUGUCCCAGGGAGAACACAUUCAGAGGGAAGACCCAGGACAGAGUUUGCAUCACGAUUCCUUGGGGAGAGGUGGGCCUCAGGAUUUCCAGGUUGGAAGCGGUCUUUCUUUGUGGCAUUUUCAUCCAGGGCUUGGCAACCUUCACCAUCUGGAAGUUCUUUCUUACUUCAAACCGGAAUCCCUCCUUCUGUGAUGUAUCCCCAUUUCCUCUCCCUUUUCCUCCGUGGAGCGGUAUUCUUGCCAAGAAAGAAAGUUAAAAGGGAACAAAGACAUAUGGUUUUCCUAUUAAGACGGACGCCCACAUUUAAGCGGAAUAGAGGAAAGCGUUCACAUUAGGGCAACGGAAAUACAUUUGCAUGGCACCAACAUCUGAAAUUGCUUUUUUUUUUUUUUUUAAGUAACCAAAACAAUGAGUGCCUCUUUUUGUGCACUUUAUUAAACUUCUGGACUAUUAAGGAGACACUGGGGACCCCUCCUCAGAGGCCAGGGUAGCACGGAAAGCCCUUGGAUUUGGAGUCCUGACAUCAAGCAUUCAAAACCCGUUUCUGCCACUCGCGAGCAGUGUGACCAUGGUGGUGACCACGGGGAACGCUGUUUGUCUUUGAGACUCAGUCUUCCUUGUACAGUGGGGGACACCAGCUGCCCCUGCCUAUGUCACAGGGCUACUGAGAGUUGAUGAGAGGACGUGGAAAAGCCCAGGAAACCACGAUGCGCCGGAGUGAUGUGAAUACGCUACACCGAAGUCCCGGACGGUUUCCUGAGCAACCACCAGGGACAGAACCUCACCACGUUGUUUCUACUUGAGAAAUUGACGAACCGAUAGUAAAAUUCAUAUGGAAACGCAAAGGACCUAGAACCAUUCUUUGGAGAAGAACUAGGGGCGCCUGGGUGGCUCAGUCGGUUGAGCACCUGACUUCGGCUCAGAGCGUGAUCCCGAGGUGAGGACACAGAAGGCAUCAAUCUGCAAACCAGAGCGUCCUUACCAGACCUGGACCAGGCUGGCACCCCGAUCUCAGACUCCCAGCCUCCAGAAGCAUAAGAAAAUAAAUUGCUGUUGUUUGCACAACCCAAUGCGUGGCGUUUCUUACGGCGGCCCGAGCAGACUAAGACAGUGGCUAAAGUUGGAGACUGAUGAUACCAAGUGUCGUCAGGGAAGUGGAGAAAGCGGGACAUGUAUACACUGUGAGGAUAUACACGGUGCAACCACUUUGGAAACCAGUUUAGCGGUUUUCUACAAACCUAAAUUAUGACUACCGUAUCCACCCAUUCAUGUCCUAGGAAUCUGCCCAAGAGAAGUGAAAACAUAUGCCCACAGAAGGACUGGUUCACGAAUACUCUUCGCGACGUUGUCUGUAACAACCACAAACGGGAAACAACCCAACUCUCCACCAGCAUGUGAAUGGAUAAGCAAACGGUGGUGCCUCUAUCACACAGAGGACCAAGGCCGGGGGCCCCCUGCGCCAUGGGCUCAGUGCCCAGUGCCCAGGGCAGAGCCUGGCAGGUUCCAGGUGGGCUGUCUGACCGAGAGCUGGUCCGGUCCUGCACAACGGGACCCUCCCAGCCUGCUGGGGCCCGAGAGCAGAGGUGACAGCCGGUGGCCGUCUGAAGCGUGGGUCUGCGGGCUAACCUGGCCGCGACUCGCCCCACGACCUCAGGCUGAUCCCUGAAUCCUUCUGGGCCAACGGAAAUAUGAUUCCGACUUCAACUGAACUUCCUCUGGAAUUCCCCUUGACCCCUGACCCUCCCACACAAGCCUCCCCACUCGGGGCUGUGCCUGCCUUGUUGUUUGCUUGCUCUGCCACGAGGGUGGCCACACGCUUGUUCACCAGUGUUCCUAGCAAGUGGCACACAGUAGGUGUUCAACACGUUUGCCAAUUGAUCAGAAACAUCUCCCAUGGGGCGCCUGGGUGGCUCCGUCGUUUAAGCGACCGACUUCGGCUCAGGUCAUAAUCUCACGGUCCGUGGGUUCGAGCCCCACGUCAGGCUCUGUGCGGACAGCUCAGAGCCUGGAGCCUGCUUGGGAUUCUGUGUCUCCCUCUCUCUCUGCCCCUCCCCUGCUCAUGCUCUGUCUCUCUCUGUCUCAAAAAUAAUAAAAACAUUUAAAAAAAAUUUUUUUAAAUCUCCUAUAUGCUAGGCACUUGACAUAUGACCGCUCAUUUAAUUUUCUAAACACUCCUGCAGUGUGGGUCUAAUCAUCCCCAUUUUAGAGAUGAAAACACUGAGGCUGAGUAAAAUGACUUGAGGUAUCCAGAGACACGGGGCUGUAAAGAGGUGGUGGUGGAAUUUGAACCCGGCUCAUUAGACUCCGAAGCCCCUGAGCUUGCUGCCACACUGGGCUCCCCAGUCUCUCAUGAGGGGAUGACUUGACCUGACCUUUCCCCCCGCUCAUCGUUGGACCCCACUGAGACAGAGCCUACAGAACUGCUUGGCAAGGCUCGCUGCACAGAGGGGAAUGAGUCAGGCUGGGUGGCUGGCCAGUGGCCUCCAGUUCACCUGACUGGCUCAUGUUUGGGGUAUGUCACCUGUGAGCCCGGUUGGGUUUCUUGCAGGUUCCCACGGAGACAGGCCUCUUCUGGGAGCCGUCUGACGCUGCCUUUCCUCCCUGACCAGGCGACGACUCCACUCGCUCUUCCCGAGGCCUCAGCCUUCAGCCCGACUGAAUCACGCAGGGGAGAUCAGAGCUCAUAAUUAUGUCAUUAAUCCUCAUGUGGCAACACACUGGAGGUUGUUUUCUUAGCACGAGGCAGGGCCUUAUGGGGAGCUUCUCUCUCUGCGGCCUUGCCCUGUCUGGGUCCAUGGGCCGGGAGCGGGGAACCUCCUUCCACGGAGCCCAGAGGUGUGGAAACAUGAUGCUGGGUCUCCCGCACCCAGGAACCUGCACCCCCCUGUGUGUUGUCAGUCUCCUGGGGCUGCUGUAAUAAAUUACCAUAAACUUGGUGGCUUAAAACAACAGAAGUUUAUUUUCUCACUGUCCUGGAAGCCAGGCCAAACAUCAAGGGCCUAUUGAGAUGAUCCAAGAUGAUCUCAUCUCAAAAUGCUUAAUAACAUCUGUAAAGACCCCUUUUCCAAAUAAGGUCACAUUCACAUGUUCCCAGUGGACAAAUAUUUGGGGGGGGGGCCACCAUUCAGGCCCUACAUUCCAGAAGUUGCCUCCACCAGUGCCAUUUAACCGCAUAGACACUUCCCUCCUUGCUAGAUGCCUCUGUCGUCUGUCCUUUCCUCUCCAUCCCAACAGCUACUAUCCUAUUCUGACUCUCCCUUCUAUUGCUGGGACUGGUGCAGUAGACUUCUAACCUGCUCCAUUUUCAUCUCUCAUUCUUUUUACUGCUCCAGAGGGAUUUUUCUAACCACCAAAUUACCCUAUAUCAUUCCUGCUUCACACACUUUAAAAGCGGGAGUCCAAACUCCCAGGUGUGGUGUUUGAGGCCCUGACCGGGCGCUCAUCUGUUUGUCCCGGCCUCUGCUGGUGCCUUCCACCAGACCCACCAACACUGUAAGACCUUUAAACAGACCAUCCUCUCACCUUGCUUAUGCUCCUUGUUCAUUUCCCAGUCUACCAGCCAGAACUUCUGGGAGGUCUUCCCCAGUCCUGCCACGCGUCCCGAGCACCUCUGUCGGCCCCGGCACCUGUCCCUCAUCAGCAUUGUUCGCCGAUACGCCCAGGGUCUUCUUCAAUAGAGCUGGAGCUCCUUGGGGGCCGGGAUGGCACAUUCUUUACUUUCGUAAAGAGCUCGGCACAUAGCGCGUGCUGCGUAAGGUUCACGGCGUAAGUGGCCUCGUAAUGGUAAAUCGCGCAGAAGCCGAGACCCUGCUUAACUCAUUGGCUUGACUCUGACAGCAUCUUCCCCACCCCUCAUAUCUUAAAGUUGUGGGAACUGAGCUCCUACAAUGCACAGCGGAGUAUGCUUGAAAUAAACAAAGCCUGCCUUGGCCACUAACGCUCUGUCCAACUUGGGCAGGUCACUGGGUUUUUUGGAGUCUCUAUUUCCUCAUCUGAAAAUGGACGCUGAUUUUUGUCUCCCUCAGAACAGUAGUCGUGUAAACACAGAGUCACGACUUGGUAUUCUGCUCCUAGGUAUACGCCCCAGAGAAAUGUGUCCACAAAAGAACUGGUACGUGAAUCGUCAUAGCAUCGUUAUUCAUCAUCGGCAAAAGGCAGAAACAACCCAAGCGCCCAUCGGUGGAUGAACAGAUAAACAAGAUAUAACGUAUCCAUACACCAGAAUAUUGCUCAGCCGUGGAACGGAAUGAAGUACUGACAUGUGCUACAACGCGGAUGAACCCGGAAAACGUGAUGCUGAGUAGAAGAAACCAGCCACGAAAAAUCACGUAUUAUGUUUCCAUUUCUAUGACAUGUCCAGAAGAGGCAAGUCUAUAGAGACAGAAAGCAGGACUUGUUGCUAAAGAGGAGAAGCAGAGUCUGUUUACCCGGCCCUGGAAUCUAGGCAGGCUCUCACACUGGCUUUGGACAUCGAACGCGGCAGAAGUGACAUUGGCAUCCAGUGCCAGACAUGCGAGCAAGGCCAUCUUGCACAAUAGGCCCCCCCACGGAGCCAUCACCUGACUGCCGUCACUCGAGGGAGCCCCAGAAACCAGUAGAAGAACCGUCACCUAAUCCCAGCCCCAACUCUGACCCUGAGUCACACGCUAAUAAAUAUUUGUUGUUUUGAGCCACUAAGUUUUGCAGUGGUAUCUUAUGCAGUGGUAACCAACUGACUGACACAGGGACAGACGUUAAUAGAGCCACUUUUUUGUGCCCUUCCCUGCUUUUCCUUUUUUUUCAAAAUUCUCUUUGUUUUCUUUAUUUCGAGACAGAGACGGUGCAAGCAGGGGAGGGGCAGAGAGAGAGAAUCUGAAGCAGACCCUGAGCUGCCAGCGCAGAGCCAGACGUGGGGCUCGAACCGUGAGAUCAUGACCCGAGCUGAAACCAAGAGGUCGAACGCUCAACCGACCGAGCCACCCAGGCACCUCCCCCCCCCCCACCCCCUUCUCUCCUGUUCUGCCUCGAGAGGAGAUAGGAUUAUCUGGAGCUGCAGCAGCCACCUUGCAACCUUGAGGGAAAACAAACAGAAUCACGAUAUGAUUCCACAUUGGUGUGCCGCCUAAAUACCAACGGGUUUUGUUCCGUUUUGAAUUUCUUUUCACGCGAGAAAAUCAACCCCUGUUUGUUAUAAUACUAUGACUUCUCAAAUUACUAUCGUACUAUAAGUUCUGAUGAGGGGGAGGUAAGGAAGUGCUGAAUCACUGUAUUGUACAUCUGAAAGCAACACUACACUGUAUAUUAACUAACUGGAAUUUAAAUAAAAGCUUGAAAAAAAAAUAACUUCUAACGAAUACA